rnacentral:tRNA from 1 species
UUUUAUAAAACUUAAAGUGCUAGAUUGUAAAUCUUGAAAUGAUAAUUUUUAUCUGUAAAAU